AUCUAGUUGAUGAGUCUUUAAUAGGACGAAACUAGAGUCCUGUAU
rnacentral:hammerhead_ribozyme from 1 species